UACGGGGGAGGCAAGCGUUGUUCGGAUUUACUGGGCGUAAAGAGCGUGUAGGCGGCCCGAUAAGUCCGCCGUGAAAGCCCAGGGCUCAACCCUGGGAUGCCGGUGGAUACUGUCGGGCUAGAAUCCGGAAGAGGCGAGUGGAAUUCCUGGUGUAGCGGUGAAAUGCGCAGAUAUCAGGAGGAACACCGAUGGCGAAGGCAGCUCGCUGGGACGGUAUUGACGCUGAGACGCGAAAGCGUGGGGAGCAAACAGG
rnacentral:rRNA from 1 species